CGAACGGUAACAGGAAGAAGCUUGCUUCUUUGCUGACGAGUGGCGGACGGGUGAGUAAUGUCUGGGAAACUGCCUGAUGGAGGGGGAUAACUACUGGAAACGGUAGCUAAUACCGCAUAACGUCGCAAGACCAAAGAGGGGGACCUUCGGGCCUCUUGCCAUCGGAUGUGCCCAGAUGGGAUUAGCUAGUAGGUGGGGUAACGGCUCACCUAGGCGACGAUCCCUAGCUGGUCUGAGAGGAUGACCAGCCACACUGGAACUGAGACACGGUCCAGACUCCUACGGGAGGCAGCAGUGGGGAAUAUUGCACAAUGGGCGCAAGCCUGAUG
rnacentral:rRNA from 1 species